rnacentral:tRNA from 1 species
AGAAACUUAGGAUAAUACAAACCAAGAGCCUUCAAAGCUCAAAACAUGAGCUGACCCUCAUAGUUUYU